rnacentral:rRNA from 1 species
ACGCGGGCGGCGUGGCUAAGGCAUGCAAGUCGUACGGGACCUUUGAAGUAGCAAUACGACGAAGGUUUAGUGGCGGACGGGUGAGUAAUACAUGGGUAACGUGCCCUGCACACAGGGAUAGCGGCGCCCCGCAAGGGGCUUUACCGAAAGUGCCGGUAAUACCUGAUGAUAUCCGGGAGUCGCAUGGCUUCCGGGUCAAAGGGUGGGGACCUUCGGGCCUAUCGGUGCAGGAUCGACCCAUGCCCUAUCAGCUAGUUGGUGAGGUAACGGCCCACCAAGGCUUUGACGGGUAGCCGGCGUGAGAGCGCGACCGGCCACAUCGGGACUGAGACACUGCCCGGACACCUACGGGUGGCUGCAGCAACGAAUAUUCCGCAAUGGGCGAAAGCCUGACGGAGCGACGCCGCGUGGAGGAUGAAGUCCUUCGGGAUGUAAACUUCGAUAGUUUGUCAGGAAGUGAGGCGACCUAAUACGUCGUCAAGUUGACCAGCAAACGAAAGGGGUGGCUAACUCCGUGCCAGCAGCCGCGGUAAUACGGAGACCCCUAGCGUUGUUCGGAUUCACUGGGCUUAAAGCGGGUGUAGGCGGAACGGUAAGUACUGAGUGAAAGCCCCGGUCUUAACCCGGGAAUAGCUUGGUAUACUGCCGUUCUUGAGGCAGGUAGAGGUCACUGGAACCUUAGGUGGAGCGGUGAAAUGCGUAGAUGUCUAAGGGAACGCCGGUGGCGAAAGCGGGUGACUGGGCCUGUUCUGACGCUGAGACCCGAAAGCGUAGGUAGCAAACGGGAUUAGAUACCCCGGUAGUCUACGCCGUAAACGAUGCGCACUAGGUACGAGAACUCUGACGGUCCUCGUGCCGCAAGAAAACCGUGAAGUGCGCCGCCUGGGGAGUAC